AUUGAACGCUGGCGGCAGGCCUAACACAUGCAAGUCGAACGGUAACAGGAAGAAGCUUGCUUCUUUGCUGACGAGUGGCGGACGGGUGAGUAAUGUCUGGGAAACUGCCUGAUGGAGGGGGAUAACUACUGGAAACGGUAGCUAAUACCGCGUAAUGUCGCAAGACCAAAGAGGGGGACCUUCGGGCCUCUUGCCAUCGGAUGUGCCCAGAUGGGAUUAGCUAGUAGGUGGGGUAACGGCUCACCUAGGCGACGAUCCCUAGCUGGUCUGAGAGGAUGACCAGCCACACUGGAACUGAGACACGGUCCAGACUCCUACGGGAGGCAGCAGUGGGGAAUAUUGCACAAUGGGCGCAAGCCUUAUGCAGCUAUGCCGCGUGUAUGAAGAAGGCCUUCGGGUUGUAAAGUACUUUCAGCGGGGAGGAAGGGAGUAAAGUUAAUACCUUCGCUCAUUGACGUUACCCGCAGAAGGAGCACCGGCUAACUCCGUG
rnacentral:rRNA from 1 species